CCCCUCUCCCUUAUCCCAACCCACAACCUCCCCCUUACCGGCCUCCACUACAAUUCUCCUUGCCUUUGCUGGCGCGCAAAUCAAGUCAGCCCUAACCUCGGCGGGGAACAUUCCGUCACAGUCUAUUCCUCCCUCCCGCCUACAGCAGAGCAAAGUCCUCCAAAAUUCGCGAGAGCUUCUCUUUUUCCCUACCCCCCCCCUACGUCCUUUCCCCUCCCCCCUCCCCCCCACCCCCCCCUCGUCCUCGAACCCUCAAGGCCUCGCGAGAACUCCUCUUCCUCGAUUUCUACCAGACUCGGAGUGCUCAAGAUCUCGCGAAAAUUCUCUUUCUCUUCACCCUCCCCCCAAUUCUCCUUCCUCUUUCUGCUCCUUGUCUCUGGGUUUUGAAGAUCUCGUGAGACUUCUCCGUUCUAACCAGCCCCUCCCCCGCCCCCACCCCACCCCCACCCGCCUGCGUGUUGCUUCCCCAAGUCAGAGCUAUCCAGAAAAAAGCCGAAAGCGGAGAAUAUGGAGGGUCACGUGACCGCAGAAGCCGGGCGCGGCGGCCAUUUUGCAAAGCGGGGGAUGGUGGCGCGGAUAGAGUCCCAAAGGGGGUGGUGAGGGAGAGAAGCAGGGCGAAGGAGGGGAAAAGAAAGAGGAAAGAGUAAGAGGGGUGUAGGGGGCGCUCUGGAGGGCUAAACAGUGAGCCGGGGCGUUGGGGUGGGGGGAGGGUCGACAGAAGUCCGCUCACGGACGCACUCUCCUCUCCGGGCUCUGUUGCCAAGGUAGCGAGCGCGCGGGCUGUGAACCGAAACCUUUCUCUUCCCCUUCCCCCCCUACAGCUCCGGCGCCGGGCGCGCGCGCCCCCUCCCCCCACGCUACUAGGAAAACAAUGAGACAAUCACACGCAGAAACGACGCCAAUUGUUACGCACCUCCACCGGGGCCCGGACCCCCCACCCGCAUCCCGCUGCGCCUGCGCAGGAACUCUGGCUCUUUCUCCCCUGGUUUCUACCCGGACUGUGGUGGGGGUAGGGGCAGUUCAACUCGGGAAAAUGAAAGCUAAGACCACGUGGGUUUUGUGCCAUGCUUCAAAGGUCAUCGGACUUAGCUUCCAUAUCAAUGAAGCAUUAGAAGGGCUACUUGAGAGGUGGCUCUGGCAGCAGUGUGCUGAGUGUCUUGACAUCUUGGUGUGGUGGCAGCUAUUGUAUGGUUUGGUGGUGAGAGUCCUUGAUACACUACUGGGGGAAGCUGAGUA
rnacentral:lncRNA from 1 species